rnacentral:lncRNA from 1 species
UGAUAACAAGGCUGAAACAGAUGCUUCUAAUACUUGAACUCAAUAUAUCGAGAAUGUCCGAGGGCGAACCUGGAGAAUGGAACUGCUGCUAACAGGCUUACCCUGGACACCGAAUCUAUCUCUCUUUGCUCCAAUUCUCACUACUAUAAAUAAGUCGGAAUUAAUACAAGCAAUUUCAGAAUUCAUAUAUCAGAAUAAUAAUAAGGCAUUGUUUCGCUAAUAAAUCACUAAGAAAUUGUACUAUACGAAAACGGAUCGAUAGCUGUUCAACCGACCUAUGAAUUCAUUAGCGAGGUACUACGUUGCCAGGAUACCCUCGUUUCAUGGUCGAGGUACGUACCUUCUAUUUCUAUGAAUGAGAGCUAUGUAGCCCGGGAAACGAAGAACGAAUGGUUCUAUCCGGGAGAACAUUUCUUAUACGACCACGAGACCAGUUGCCUGGCCUCAAUCAAUUAGUUAUUUGACUUAAAGAAUGUGCUUAGCUACUUUCAGAAUGAAUGGUUCUACGCUCCGAACGAGUCACUAUAAAUGAUUGAAGACCGAGUGAACUACCCUUGUCGACCCCUAGUCCAGUUGCCCUCCUAAUAAUAGAUAUAAUAAUGACCUUUGUUCUGAAACUCCCCGCGGGAAGUCCUACUCCACUAGAGCCGAGGCUGCCACACUGCCCUGAUAUGCUGAAACAGGAAACAAGGGAUUCCACUACUCAAUGUAAGAAUCAAAUCGAUACUAGAGGGAAUGGUAGCACUACAAAGAAGGAUCCAGCUAAUGGCCUCAACCCUGACUUAUUCGUUUCUAAGCCUAGCUAUCCUGUCCCUAACUCUGACGCCCUCCCAGUGAAGUUCUGAAACUAAUGCCUAUGCUAUGUGUCUUGCUUUACUGCUUAUGAGACCUUAGCCCAACGUCCCUUAUUGACCUCUUAUUUACUAUUGGAAAAACCUAGGCCUUCAAGCCAGUAUUCACCCCUAAAACGAACUCCUCUUGCUUUCAUUCCGUAUUGAACCUAUGUGUAUUUCACCUUUGAGCUUGUCAUUCCUUCCUAUCAGCCUUACGGCCCCAGCCCUAGAGUAGCUCAAUAUACAUCGACCCUUGCUUUCGUUCUGUAGUUACUGGUCCGGGUCUUUGCCUACGAGAUUGAGUCUACCGUCCCUUGGGUUUAGUAUGACUUUCCGGGCAAACAGGCUUAACUAUCCUUUCUUUUAGUCCCCUUUCUUUCAUUCUAGUUCUAUGGGCUUAUUGUUAGAUGCACUAGCGGAGUACCCGGAGUGAAAGGUGGGGCAAAGAAUGCAGUUGGUGCUUUAGAUAGAUCGUUUUUUUCUAUUGGGUUGGGGAUGUCUUCUAAGCAUUAGUUUUAUGAACUUGGGGUCUCUGCGUUCUUAUUAGCGGUGGCUCUCUUCUCUUCUUGUUUUGUUAUUGGGAGCGGAGCUCAGUUCCUGGGUUCGAUUCUUGUUAUUAGCGGUUGGAUUUCUCUUUCUUAUUGUAAUUCCUAGUUGGUAGCUGUUCUCUCAUCAGAUCAGUAGUAACUUGAUUCUAUAGGGUCUAAUAUUAGUAUUUGAUAGCCAGGGAAGCAAGCCUCUCAUCUCAGGUAGUAGUGUCAGUCAGUUUCAAAGCAAAGAGAGGCAGUUUUGACUACUGCGCUAGUAAGCUCAGCUAGAGCAUAGGAAUUUAGGGCGGAGUUCCCGAAUGAUAGAUGGGAUAUUCAAACUAAUCAAAGUCGGGAGAGGAAAACUCUAACUCGCGCGCAAUUCUACUAGAUCAAAGCGCGGAUAGUGAAAUUGAUAGUGUUGAGCUACAGAGUGCAAGUAAUCAAUUGAAGAAUAAGAGAAGGUCAAGUCAGAUCCGAGGUCGGCAGCAGUAUUCCCCGUUCCUAGGUGAGUUCUUGUAUAGUAUCGGUGUGUAGUCCAAUCCCUUAGGUUUAGGUGCAGUUCCAUCAGUAGUAUUUCUUUUAUUGGCAGAGUCGACUUAGCUAGGUAAGCGAGAGAGCGAAAGCAGAGACCUUUUGAACCCGCUAAUAAACAACUAAUCUGAUAUCAGUUAAUUCAUUAUUGUAUUAUGGAGAAUGAACAAACAAGCAAAGCAAGAAAGCAGAAUUAAGGGCAUAGUUCAGUAAGAAGAGCUGGGAGCAGUGUCGGAGUGAAAGGCAUUAGUUGAAGUUCGAAGCUAAGCGCGGAUUCACAAGCAAGAAUGCCAGGAACGAGUCUAAUAACGGGUAGAGGUGGACUAAAACAAUUACUGGUAGUAAUGGCAAGCACGGAUCUAAUUAAGGAAAUCAAGUUAGGAGUAGGUCUUUGCUACCGGCAAAGGGUAUGUUAUCUUAAAGAGUCAGACUUGGGUUACUUAUUGCAAUUCUGACCUGAUUCUUAUUAGCAAUAGAUCAACUCUUUCCGAUACUAAUAUAAGUUUGCGAGGUUUGAGUUGGUUAGGUUAGACAGGAAAGACAGCCUGAGUUACUAGAUUCAUGCUUAGGUUCGAUUCUUUUCUCUGACCUUUGAUCAGUGGUUCUCAUUAGCUGUUAUUUCAGGCGUUAGGAUAGUAACGUAAAAUACUGUGUGGAAUUACGAAAAAGUCAACGGAACAAGUCUGGGUUUAGAACAUAAGUAUUGUUGGCGCUGGUCCAAUCCUUGGUUUCUCUCUUAUGAAUUGAGGAAAUAGAAAAAGAAGUGAUAGUUUGAAAUCGAGGAAAGUAAUACGGAGGGUAAGCCGGAGUUCUGAGUUGAGGUAUUGUUGUUGGCCGGCACUAGCCCAAUCCUUAUUAUUGGUA